ACCCGCCUCUCUGCGCCCCUCUCCGCCCCGCCUCCCUCCUAGGUGAAGGAAGAUGAUUUCCCCCCCAUCUUGACCACCCCCCAGUCUUCGCCGCCAAAAACGGACUCCGCCGGCUAUCCUCGGCCCGGUACCAGUUGUUGGAUCCAAGAGAAUUCCGGAACCCAAACGGUCCAUUACCGCGGCUCUGGGGCUCGCUCAAAGCACUUUAUUGGCAGUGAAACCGCAAGUAACCCGGAGCCCUCGGCGCGACCACGGCUAGAAUCAGAGCCUAAGGCGUGUGAGCUCAGCCAUCCCACGUCUGUCUUCACGCUCAUACGCAAGCCCGACACACCGGGGCUCCCACUUAAUGAAUACUGAAGAGUAGGGCUGUCCCUACCGCUUCUCACUUCCUUGUUUUCAUCUUUUCGUUAUUAUUAAGCGACCUAACACAAUAAACAUAUUACCUUGUUGGUAACCCUUUUGUAAAGUC